rnacentral:rRNA from 1 species
CUGUGAGGCAUGCUGGAGGUAUCAGAAGUGCGAAUGCUGACAUAAGUAACGAUAAAGCGGGUGAAAAGCCCGCUCGCCGGAAGACCAAGGGUUCCUGUCCAACGUUAAUCGGGGCAGGGUGAGUCGACCCCUAAGGCGAGGCCGAAAGGCGUAGUCGAUGGGAAACAGGUUAAUAUUCCUGUACUUGGUGUUACUGCGAAGGGGGGACGGAGAAGGCUAUGUUGGCCGGGCGACGGUUGUCCCGGUUUAAGCGUGUAGGCUGGUUUUCCAGGCAAAUCCGGAAAAUCAAGGCUGAGGCGUGAUGACGAGGCACUACGGUGCUGAAGCAACAAAUGCCCUGCUUCCAGGAAAAGCCUCUAAGCAUCAGGUAACAUCAAAUCGUACCCCAAACCGACACAGGUGGUCAGGUAGAGAAUACCAAGGCGCUUGAGAGAACUCGGGUGAAGGAACUAGGCAAAAUGGUGCCGUAACUUCGGGAGAAGGCACGCUGAUAUGUAGGUGAAGUCCCUUGCGGAUGGAGCUGAAAUCAGUCGAAGAUACCAGCUGGCUGCAACUGUUUAUUAAAAACACAGCACUGUGCAAACACGAAAGUGGACGUAUACGGUGUGACGCCUGCCCGGUGCCGGAAGGUUAAUUGAUGGGGUCAGCGCAAGCGAAGCUCUUGAUCGAAGCCCCGGUAAACGGCGGCCGUAACUAUAACGGUCCUAAGGUAGCGAAAUUCCUUGUCGGGUAAGUUCCGACCUGCACGAAUGGCGUAAUGAUGGCCAGGCUGUCUCCACCCGAGACUCAGUGAAAUUGAACUCGCUGUGAAGAUGCAGUGUACCCGCGGCAAGACGGAAAGACCCCGUGAACCUUUACUAUAGCUUGACACUGAACAUUGAGCCUUGAUGUGUAGGAUAGGUGGGAGGCUUUGAAGUGUGGACGCCAGUCUGCAUGGAGCCGGCCUUGAAAUACCACCCUUUAAUGUUUGAUGUUCUAACGUGGACCCGUGAUCCGGGUUGCGGACAGUGUCUGGUGGGUAGUUUGACUGGGGCGGUCUCCUCCUAAAGAGUAACGGAGGAGCACGAAGGUUGGCUAAUCCUGGUCGGACAUCAGGAGGUUAGUGCAAUGGCAUAAGCCAGCUUGACUGCGAGCGUGACGGCGCGAGCAGGUGCGAAAGCAGGUCAUAGUGAUCCGGUGGUUCUGAAUGGAAGGGCCAUCGCUCAACGGAUAAAAGGUACUCCGGGGAUAACAGGCUGAUACCGCCCAAGAGUUCAUAUCGACGGCGGUGUUUGGCACCUCGAUGUCGGCUCAUCACAUCCUGGGGCUGAAGUAGGUCCCAAGGGUAUGGCUGUUCGCCAUUUAAAGUGGUACGCGAGCUGGGUUUAGAACGUCGUGAGACAGUUCGGUCCCUAUCUGCCGUGGGCGCUGGAGAACUGAGGGGGGCUGCUCCUAGUACGAGAGGACCGGAGUGGACGCAUCACUGGUGUUCGGGUUGUCAUGCCAAUGGCACUGCCCGGUAGCUAAAUGCGGAAGAGAUAAGUGCUGAAAGCAUCUAAGCACGAAACUUGCCCCGAGAUGAGUUCUCCCUGACCCUUUAAGGGUCCUGAAGGAACGUUGAAGACGACGACGUUGAUAGGCCGGGUGUGUAAGCGCAGCGAUGCGUUGAGCUAACCGGUACUAAUGAACCGUGAGGCUUAACCUU